GGGGCUUUAAAGGGCCUGAGCCGGGCUGGGGCUCCCCAAACAGAGUGAGUGAGGGCGGCCGCCUCCACGCAGGUUCCCUCCUGCUUCUCGUGUCUCCCGGAGUCGUUCUGUGGGUUUGCUGCCUCUAUUCGCCCCGAGUAUCUCUAUUCCUCUGUCUACGUCUCCGUCUCUGCCUCUGUUUUUCUAUUUCUUGGUCUCCCGGGGUCGCCCUGUUCCUCUGAAUCGUUGCCUCCAUGUCUUUCUCCAUCAUGGUCUCCCUCUGAGCCUCUUUCUGUCCAGUCUCUGUGUCUCUGCCGCGGCCUAAGUCUCCCUCUGUGUGUCUGUUUCACUCUCUUUAAGCCACUCAGCCCGUGGAUCUGUGCAUACGCCCGGACUGGAUCCCAUCCUCACUCCCUUGUAUAACCGGAAAACUCCUAUUCGUCCAUCAGUGAUGUCUGAGCUCCUGGCCAUCCCCGGGGACCGCACUCUUAUCCAAAUUUGCCCAUCGCUGUACAGGAACAGCCAUGGAGACAUCUGGGCUUCAGACAAGAAGGUUUCUUUCCACAGCAUCUGCUGAGCUCAGCUUUGUAAUGGAGAAUGAGCAGAGCUUAUUUGAGAAGACUGGACCCAGGGCAAUCCUGCUUGGUCUUCAAAGGAAGCACAUUCUAACCUGGCUGAGAGUUGUAUGCCCCAGGACAUGGGAGUUAACACCGGAAUGCAGUCCAUCCUCCUUUUCUGAGAACUGACUGUACAAUCUGGUCCCAGAGGUCCCUGCUUUUUGCACCCACCCUCCCCCACCAAGCUCACAUUGCCUGUAACCUAUAACCGUUAUACCUCGCCUACUUCCCCGUGCCUGUAAUUCCUGCCUUCCCAUGUAAUCUUUUGUCCUUCUACCCAGUACAGGCAGCUGGUUUAUGGGGAGGAGUAGAGCAGAUUUUUGUG